rnacentral:rRNA from 1 species
GAUGCAGCAACGCCGCGUGAACGAUGAAGGUCUUCGGAUCGUAAAGUUCUGUUGCAGGGGAAGAUAAUGACGGUACCCUGUGAGGAAGCCCCGGCUAACUACGUGCCAGCAGCCGCGGUAAUACGUAGGGGGCUAGCGUUAUCCGGAUUUACUGGGCGUAAAGGGUGCGUAGGUGGUCCUUCAAGUCGGUGGUUAAAGGCUACGGCUCAACCGUAGUAAGCCGCCGAAACUGGAGGACUUGAGUGCAGGAGAGGAAAGUGGAAUUCCCAGUGUAGCGGUGAAAUGCGUAGAUAUUGGGAGGAACACCAGUAGCGAAGGCGGCUUUCUGGACUGCAACUGACACUGAGGCACGAAAGCGUGGGUAGCAAACAGGAUUAGAUACCCUGGUAGUCCACGCUGUAAACGAUGAGUACUAGGUGUCGGGGGUUACCCCCCUCGGUGCCGCAGCUAACGCAUUAAGUACUCCGCCUGGGGAGUACGCACGCAAGUGUGAAACUCAAAGGAAUUGACGGGGACCCGCACAAGUAGCGGAGCAUGUGGUUUAAUUCGAAGCAACGCGAAGAACCCUACCUAAGCUUGACAU